AUGAAUAGAGUUCGAUAUUUUUAUUAAAAUUUAAUUUUUAUAAAUAGAGUAAAUAUUUGAUAUAUUUUAAUUUUUAGUAGUUCUAUUCGAUACAAAUAAAAUUUAAUUUCAGUGGUGAUAAAACUAAUUUACCUAUGCACAGGCCGACUCUUCAAACAUACUAUAGCUCCAUAUAGCCCCAUAUAGCGAAAAGCCAACAUUAAGGUGCCAAACCUUUUCAGAAUGUGAAAUCUGAGAGAAAAUGAAAAAGUGGGGUAUGAAAUUAAGAAUAGAGGAAAACUAUGCUGAUAAGUUUGUUCAAUUGUGCAGCCAACUUUUCAAGUGAUUCAACCAAUCAAUGGAGACCCCUUCAUAGGAAGCUUGGAGACUCCUGUAACAUCAAGCCCACUAAUAGCCUGGUACCUCUCCAACUUACCAGCCUACAGGACCGCAGUGAGCCCACUGCUCAGGGGAGUAGAGGUGGGGCUAGCCCAUGGGCUACUGUUGGUAGGGCCAUUUGUGAAGGCAGGUCCAUUGAGGAACACAGAGUAUGCAGGAGCAGCAGGGUCAUUAGCAGCAGGAGGACUGAUUGUGAUUCUGAGCAUAUGCUUG
rnacentral:lncRNA from 1 species